rnacentral:lncRNA from 1 species
CAGUGCGCGCAGGCGUGGGCAGCAGCGCAGCAGGCGCGCCAGGCAGUCGUCGGUAACGUGGCCGCAGCCCGAGAGCGUGACGGACGCCAGGUUGGGGCACCUGUGAGGAGAGUGCGGUGACCCGGGGCUCACUGGCUUGUUAAAGCUACCCAACCGCCCCAUGGGACCGAGUGGACUCAUUUACCGAGGAGGACUCGGGCCCUGCGAGGUCACUUCAUCCUGGCCCAGGUACUGCAGCUCCAAAUCGUGGGGAUUCUGUAAGAGCUUGCUACCUGUUGACUGAGGAGGCCCACGAGUUGAGAAGAACUAGCAAGAGUGGUACAAAACUGCAGGUCAUUGGGCUGGCCACCAGGUAUUCCCACCCACCAGAAGCUGGCUGUUGUACUCACCCGGAACCAUGGUGCACCACCACAGCGGCGAGGUCAUACAGGCAGCUCUCCGGGCCACUGUUCUCAGGCUACAGAACAAGGAAGAAGGAGCAGUGGUCAAUGACAUCAGUAUCUCGAUGACCUCUACCCUCUCCAUGUGAUGACAAUCUUACUGAAGAGCCAUUUUUUCACCAUGCUAAAAAGGGAAGAGGAGCACAGCAGUAACGCUGAUGGGAAGAAGGUGCUGACAGAUGGACUCACUGGGGUCACGGCAACAAUCGACAGUACAGGUGGCAAACAUUGUGUAAAAUACUCCAAAUCCAAGACACACAUUUAUAAAAGUCUGUAACAGGUGAAAGAAUAAACUCCAGCUGCCCUCAACACCUAGGGCAUGGAGACCUCCCUGACUGCUUCGUCAGGCCUACUGGGGCCCACACGUAUUUGAAGUUAACCGAGGAGCUCUACUUCCUUGGAAAUCCCCAUUGCUCCUCCAGCAGAGGUGGGCUGGACACUGCUCCUGGCAAAGCUGGCCGGGAAGAUGCAGCCCGUGGGACACUCCCCACCACCACUCUCACAGUCUGACUGACUGCGAAGCUUCACAGACCAGAAGGUUCAUUCCUCACAAGAAAAGGAAAACCCUGGUCUGAUACUACUGUUCUGAAAUUUAACAGCCAGUUGGGUCCAGCAGCUUUGCCUCUCUACCCUUUUAUCACCAAAGUAUACUGCUGAGAAAGAAUCAAAUGAAAAGAAAAAAGACUCAACAAGACCUCACUCAUAUUAACUGGACUCUACAAGCAGUGAGCAUCCAGACCUGCAUUUGGUUACAAAAGAAGCCUUCAAGCUAUUUUCAUCAGCUUCCUAAUCAAGUUAAAAAAUAAACCACAAAACUGAGUAUCCACUACCCUCUCUAUAUAUAUUCUAUAUAUAUAUGUAUAUAUUUGUAUUAAUAAAUUAUAUAUACAAUUAAAUCUAAAUUAUAUAUUACAAAAAAGAAUAAUUUUUAAAGAAUGAGCUAGAGAUGAAAUAAACUAUAUUAAAUGUCUUGCUAUUCACAAUAUCUUCAUACUAUUAUUAAACUAAUUUCCUUUUUUUUUUUUUUUAAAGACAGUGUCUCCCUGUGUUGCCCAGG